rnacentral:rRNA from 1 species
AUGAGGAUAGUGGCGUGGAACUGCCGGGGGCUCGGGAACAGGCCGGCAGUUCGUGGUCUUCUAGAACUCCAGAAGAAGGAGGAUCCCGACGUAAUUUUUCUUUCAGAGACUAGGAUGAAUAAAUAUAAAGUCGAAAGGUUACGCCAAACCUUGGGGAUGCCACACCUUGUCUACAAGGUUUGUGCUGGAAAGAGUGGAGGCUUGGCUAUGCUAUGGAAAAGAGAAGUGAACCUGAGUUUGAGGUGGCUUGGAAGAAUGCAUAUUGAUGUGACGAUCGAAGAGGUUGACGGAUAUAAGUGGAGACUCACAGGUAUCUAUGGCGAGCCCAGACCCGAUCACAGGGAAGAGACGUGGCGACUGUUACGCACUCUACAUCAGCAAGAAAAGCUACCUUGGGUGUGUAUAGGGGAUUUCAAUGAGAUCCUAUACAACUUUGAGAAGCAAGGAGGGGUGCCCAGAGCUCACAGCCAAAUGGAUCGUUUUCAUGAUGCUUUAAACUUUUGUAACCUAAACGACCUGGGUUUCGAGGGGGACGUAUUUACUUGGCGUAAUAAUAAUUUCCGUUUGGAUGGUUAUAUUCGUGAGCGCCUGGACAGGGCUGUUGCAAAUCCACAAUGGUGUAUGCGUUUUCCAGGUUACAAGGUGCGGAACGGUUGCCCUGAACACUCUGACCAUCGCCCAGUUAUUCUCGAUGUACAUGGUGCGGCCCAAAGAAGGAGACCACCACCGAACAAUUUAAACAAAAGGUUUGAGGCACGCUGGCUUCUUGAGGAAGAUUGUGAGCAACUGGUGACGGAGGCGUGGGAGGACGCAACAAGGAAAGGCAAUGGCCGUGUGAUGGAACGACUUAAGUGUGUGUCCAGGAGUUUAGACAAGUGGAGCAGGGAAGUGUUGGGUGACCUGCAGAAGAGGAUAAAAAAGCUAAGGGCUGAACUCGAGGAGAGCCGUACAGGAGACCUAUCAGAAGCGGCAGUGAGAAAAGAACAAGUAUUGUGUUUCAAGCUCGGUCGUCUUGAGGAACAACUUGAUGUGUUUUGGAAACAGAGGGCUCAUGUGGGCUGGCUGACGAAAGGAGAUCGAAAUACGGAGUACUUUCAUGGUUUUGCCUCGACACGGAAGAGAGCCAACCGAAUCACAAAGCUAAGAGGAGAUGAUGGGGUGGAGGUAGAAGAGGAGGAGGGUUUGAAGGCCCUCGUUUCUAAUCAUUUCUUUGGCUUGUUUACCCCCAUGGCAGGUACAAACAUUGAAGAAGUUCUUCAACAUGUUCAACUGCGAGUCACACCCGAAAUGAACACUUUUCUCCGGAAUGAAUACACAGCCCAGGAGAUAAAGAGUGCACUGGAUGAUAUGGGUGACCUGAAGGCCCCAGGGGCUGAUGGUAUGCCUGCAGUAUUCUAUAAGAGAUUUUGGGGUAUGGUGGGGGAGGUAGUGGUGCAAGAAGUCCUCCACGUGUUGCAGGGCGGCAGUAUACCAGAGGGAUAA